rnacentral:misc_RNA from 1 species
AAGUCGUAACAAGGUUUCCGUAGGUGAACCUGCGGAAGGAUCAUUAUUGAAAACAAGGGUGUCCAAUUUAACUUGGAACCCAAACUUCUCAAUUCUAACUUUGUGCAUCUGUAUUAAUGGCGAGCAACUUCGGUUGUGAGCCUUCACUUACAAAACACUAGUCUAUGAAUGUAAAAUUUUUAUAACAAAUAAAAACUUUCAACAACGGAUCUCUUGGCUCUC